CGAAAGGAGAUAUGCAAUUGACUCUGAUCCCAUAUUGCCCCAACUCAACCCCGAGAUUCUAAGUCAGUCGGACAACAGCAUGUUUCGACGCCGAGCACAUGAUCGUAACCGCCCGGGAUCCCCGCAUUGCUGAACAUCACAUGGAGCUUACCGUAGUUCUUCACUGCACUGUCCACCGUGUUCUUAACAUCUGUCUCGCUCCUGACGUCGCAGUGGAUUAGGAAACUGUCUGGUUCUGGUCCGAUCUAAUAUCCUUGCAUACAUACAGGCUGAGCUGAUCCUGGACAUCGGCGGUCACCACUUUCGUGCCGCGCCUUGCGACCAACCUCACGGUGCUCUCUCCGAUGCCACUGGCUCCACCAUUUUUCAGAGUCACCUUGCCCCCCAAACUGUACUCGAAGCUUGCGCACUCUUUUCAAUAUACGGUGCAAAAAGGUUGAGUCGUUCCAUGGCAUUUCCUAUGGUAAAUUAGCGUGUAAUCAACAUGUAGAAGACUCAGAGACUUUAAACCAAAAGAAAGUAAAAUUACCUCUCGGCAAUGGGAGCUAACAGAGGAGCCUCUUUCAUCUCUGAGCUUGAUUUGUGAUUUCCCAAGACAAUUGCUCUCAGAUUAAUGGUCAAUUAAUACAGCUAAAGGAAGAUCAGUUCAUUGGCUUAAAAUAUAAGAAAUUAUUCAGAGAAAGAGGUACAAUGAGAUACGCCUUCGCUUGGUAACGAAACGCUUUGGGUUCGAUUUUCAUCAGUCGGACUAUAGGAUGGACAGAGGCGGAUAAUCAGCAGGGUGGUGGACAUGCAAGGGUGCGGAGCGAUGACGAAGCAGUCCAAGACCGGGGCUGAUGCUGGAUUCUAUGAUUUAGUGGAGCACACACUCCAGAAGGAUAUGGACUUGGAUCGAAAGGCGAGAGGGAUACAGGAUCUUCGUGAGAUGACAAAAAAAGGUCCUCCACUACUACUAGGGAGAUUUCCUGGAUGAACUGCCUGGACUUCAAUGUGGCCCUCAACCUCAGCGGGCUACAGAGGCAGGAGGUAAAAGAAGCUCAAGCUGUUGGCCCGAAAGUUCAAGAUGACCAACCGCCCAGGGGGGGGUGCAGUAUACCUCCUGCACCCAGCCCUCCACUCAGCUGUGUGGAGCGAUGCUGACAUGGACGAGCUUCUUUUAGGGAAGAUCAAUGUCAGGCAGGCAGGGGUGUCAAGGCUAAGUUCUUCUUGAGUAUGCUUAAGCUCUGCGAGUCCGCUGAAAUUUUUGGAGGGAGAGAUUGGUGGUAAAAGAGAGAGGGUAGUGCUUGGGGAAGGAAGUCUGUGUGAUAUCAGGGGAAACGAUUCAACAACAAUUCUCAGAGGCUUGUGGAGAGGGGAUUUAUUUGGUUGGAGCUUCACGAAUUUAUUACUCUCGACGUUCACCUCAACCCUUCAGUUACUCGCCAAGCUAUAGGCCAAGCUUCAGGCCUGGGCAAAAGAAGAAGGUCUAUGCCUAUAGAUUGGUCGCAGCAGAUUCACCCGAGGAGGGGGAGGACCACGACACAUGCUUCAUUCAAGAAGGAGAAGAUCACAAAGAUGUGGUUCGAGUGGAAUGAGAAUUGGGGGGCUCGAGAGCUCGAGGUUGAGGUGGCUGAGUGCGGCAACGAAUUCCUCGAGAGCCCCCGAUGAUGAGGGAAGAUGUGAAAGCUUUGUACAAAAAGGUCAGUCACUUUAUUUCUUUGCCCCUUCCACUUACUAACUUCGUCACGUUCUAACUUUCAGGCGAGCUUCCAGAAUCAAAGGCCUCGCAAUCGACCCUUUUACCGGCAACUCUUAGAAGAACUUGUAUUGGUUUGUAGUGAUAACAGGAUCAGCUUUACGAUGGCUUCUUGAAAUGUAAAGAUUCUUGCUCUCCUUUUAGAUGUUCUGCCACAAACUGACAUUGUGCUCCCUUGGUAUCGCUAAUCCCCAGCUGUGAUUGGCAUUUUUGCUUAUCUUCUAAUAUCGUACUAUGACAGUCAUUGGCUUCCCCUCUGGACAGCGUCCAGUUGAACAGCAACAUGGAUGGAAAUCGAAAUUAUGCUGAAAAUCUCUCCCCUAACCCUCUAUCUGUGUUUUUCAGUCAGGGCGUUGGGUUUGGAGUUUCUAAUGCUGAAGAUACAUUUUUUUUUACCUUUUUCCAUCUGUUUACAGGCUAAAUUUAUCAAACUCUCCCUGUUUAACCUAAAUUUUACCGUUUCCUUGAUACAGUCCAGGCCCAAAGUUUCGGCAUAUAUUGUAUACGCUAUACAUGUAUGUAUCUAAUCUCAUCUUUAAUUACUAAGACGCUAACCUUCCCGAAUAGAGCUUCUGUACACGAUAACUCGAGUUUUAUGUGUUUCCUCAAGAAAACUACACUAUUAUUGGAUCGUACUCAUCUUUCCAAUGGCUCAAAGUAUCUUCUCAGGCCACAAAAUCAUCCGGCAGCUGUCGGCUGGGACCGAGCCUGUGGUGCUUAUUCUGAGGAUUGCAGAUGACCUCGAAUUUUGUUGCCUCGUCCGGAUUGAAUAGCCGAUGGUCCAAUAGAAUUUAUGAACCUCUCAUGGGAACAAAUCCAUUAUACAUGAUUCCCGAGACCUUACUACUCUUUAUCUUUUAAUCUUGUAAUUCUGUUUUAUCUCUUUCUGAGUUAAAAUGUCCAGUUGGAAGAAUAAGGGUGUAUACACACAGGAAGUUCAAGACGAGCCAAGUUAAAACCUGAAACUCCAGUCCAUACCAAGCUAAAAACUCCGAGAUUUUUGGGAUGCAAAUGUGACAGAAGAUGAUCAAAAAUUCCCUCAUGACUCUAUCAGCCAAAAAAUAAAAUAAAAAAGAAGCUCAAGACAGUAUAUAGAUAAUAAUUAAAAAAAAAAAAA